rnacentral:rRNA from 1 species
GAUCAUGGCUCAGGAUGAACGCUAGCUACAGGCUUAACACAUGCAAGUCGGAGGGGCAGCAUGAACUUAGCUUGCUAAGUUUGAUGGCGACCGGCGCACGGGUGAGUAACACGUAUCCAACCUGCCGAUGACUCGGGGAUAGCCUUUCGAAAAGAAAGAUUAAUACCCGAUGGCAUAGUUCUUCCGCAUGGUAGUAACUAUUAAAGAAUUUCGGUUCUAUCGAUGGGGAGUGCGUUCCCAUUUAGG